GUUAUCGUUCCUCCUGUUGAGUCUCUGGCCAUCAGAAGUAGACCGUCUCCAGCCACAACCAGGGAUAACAGUGGGACUGAGCAAAGGCCCGACUAUGGAAACAACUUUUUUUCAUUAUCAUUGCAUUAUUCACUCCAUAAACUGUGUAGCAGCCCCUGCUUGGGCCCCGGGAUGUGCAAUAAUCCCACUGAGCAGUAUCAUCGGUCACAGGCAAACAUCAGCUGGUGGAUCAAUGACGUUCCUAAAGGCAUCAUCAGACAGUCCCUGGGUCAGGUACCAAUCAUGGUGCAGUCCAACCUGUUACCUAAGAGCUCAUAGAACACCACGAAGAAGCUGAGGAAACUCUAUCCAGAGCUAAGUUAAGGCACUGUAGAUGUGACCAUUUCCAGUGUCUUCAUCUUGAACAGCAGCACUGAAUCCUCAUCUGCUUCUUCUUCACCUUCUUCAUCCUCCUCAUCCUCCACUUUAACCAUCAACCUCUGCUCCUCUCCCAAACUGAGAUCCCCUCUACACUGGGUCCUUUCAGUCAAAACCCAGGUUCAAGCCCACCCUUAACAAUUCCCUGACCUUUGACCUCUCUAUUGCAGGGAGGAAAGAGAAAACAGAACUCCUCUAAGGGGAUCAAUAAAGUAAUUUUAAAAAAAUAUGUUUUAUUUGACAUUAGAACAAAGCAUGUAGUGUACAGAUGCUCCGUUUGUGAAGAACUGCCUAAAUGUGUUUUAUUUCUGUUUUAUGAAAAGCAAGACUGUAACUGUAAAGUGUUGUCAACAGGUGUGUGAAAUGAAUUUGUGAACUGUUGAAAUAAAGUGGAGUAGACUGUACAAAGUGUGUUUUCAAAUUAUUAUUAGCAUUGAAAGGCCCCAUGAAAUGAAACUGACUUGACCCGAUAAGCAACAUAUUUGAAUAUAUACUGAUAAAAAUGAUGAAGACCAAAAAUAUUCAUAUUUCUUACACCGGUCUUGUAAACAUACUGUGUCUGAUGUUUUAUUACCAAUGAAAAGUCAGAGCACAGUCGGUGGCAACAAGGAAGUCACCGCAUACUGACACAGGUCUUUAUCUCAUCACUGCCAAUAAAUUAAAUAAAUAACAAUAAUAUAUUACUGACAUUUGUGUUGUAUUUUGGUAAAGAAUUUUUUUUUUUUUGGUUAAACAAAACCUAUAUACAUAUACCCCCAUAAGGAGCUGUUCAUACAAAGACUGAAACCAAACUUGUAGCAGACACUAAGACAGAGGACGCAGUCAGCUGGACAGCUCUUCACAGUCAGAUUUGCAGCUGAUCUCAGGUCUUUUGCAGUCUGACUGGAUGGAAUUUGAAAUCACAGAGGUGAGAUGUGGCUGCAAAAACAGAGGUGUACAAAAUGGACCCCGAGGAUUCCAUGGUUGCUAUGUUUUGUCUCCAGGUGCAUCAUUUAUAUAUGAUCAUCAUUCAAAAACAAACAAAACCUCUAAUGGUCAAGAAGUGUUCACAAGUUUCACUCGACGAUUUCUUCCAAGUUACCGCUUCUACUGAGGACUCCUUCCAUCCCGACAGGAACUAAAGCCUCACUGAGACUGACGAAAGCGACACAGCAGACUUCCAUCAUGGAAAAUUGUGAUGUGCCCAUCCACCUGAGAGACCAUGAAUACUGGAGGAGGAGAAUCUCUGCACGCCAGGCAGACGGAGCAGGGAAGCCUGGAGCCUGCAGCAAGUGUCCGUGCUGCAGGAAGGAGCAGGUUAGACAUCUGGAUUGAAACAUUAAAGAACAGGCCAAACGCUUCACUCAUUCACUGCUCAACAGUUCUGUGUAGAAAAUAAAUCUAGUUCACUUUUAUUGUCCUUGAAGUGAAAUUCGUCUUGCAUCCAGGUGUAAAGUAGUCCUCUGUAUGCAGAUGUUUCUCCUGUCAGAUUGUAAAAGUAUGCUGUUAAUAAGUACGAAGUCAGCCAGAGCCUGACAGCCUCUCGUGUGCUGCUGACCUUCCCCAGGUGCUGAAUUCAACCCCGAGGCCCCAGCACUCUGCCGCUACCGCCAACCUUCCCCAGAAGAGGAAGCGGAGCUCCGUGCCCCGUCCUCCAAAACCUUCUGCUGAACAUCCAGGGAAGAUGAGUUUGGUCCAGAGGCCUCUGUCCGCCAUCCCACCUGCUGACCUGUCUGUGGUCUCCAACGUGCCCCCCAGCCCCCGGCCCCCCAGCCCCCGGCCCUCCAGCGCUACUAGCCAGCUGAUGUAAACCACGAUGGCCCUCUGACAAUACACAACCGCUCAGUGGAAGAGUACCAGAAAAUCUACCAUGAAGUGGUAGAUGAUAUGCUGAGAUACAAGAGUGGCCGGCUUCGUCCGUACACUUUAGAGCUGGGACGACGUAUCAAGCAGAAGCUGUGGGAAAGACUGGAUCGUCCCACAAUGACGUCAUCAGUCAAUGAGGACGGACUUGUGCACGUGGAUGUAUCCUACGGGGUUGGUUCUUUGGGAGAACCAAGUCCUGGCCAGCCACCGAACAAAAGAGCUAAGAACUCCAACUAACAUGGAGGCAGCAUCUGCACUCCAAACAAUGAAACACGUGAUAAUAGUUGGAUAAGAUCAAAUACACCUGUAAAUAUUAUAGUAGUUUUAAGUCAUCGUAAUAAUUCACUCAACUCAAAGCAUCACAUGGUUAAACAGAACUGGGUUUUCCCACGUCAGUGAAUGCAGCCUCUGUCAGUAAACUCUUUAAUCCAGCCUCGGCCUCAACCACCACCUGAAUCAUCUGCAGGACACAAACAGCCUCCACCUACAGUCUCCUCCAUCCACGUCCACAUCUAAACUCUGCAUUCGUAGUACAUCCGCCAUCUGCUGCUCUAGCUUCCACCUGCAGACAGCAGACAGUUGUGAACACACACUCCACCUUCAACCUAUUCAGGCCACAAUCUAUCAAGAUGCAGCCCCAAGCUCCACCUAUACACCCUGGUCCACUUGUAAUUCUACCAACCUCCAUCUUCAGCCUCUGCCAGCAACCUGCAGUUUCCUCCACCUGCAGAUUCUUGCAGACAGGAAAGGGCUGGAACAUCCACCUGCAACACCUGCCAGAGUCCUGCAGCUUCCUCCACAUGUGGAUUCUUGCAGAAAGCUGCAACCAAUUCCUCCGCUUACAGCUGCAGCCCAAACCUCCACCUUCAGCCUCUGCCAGCAUCCUGCAGCUUCUUCCACCUGCAGAUUCUGUCAGAUAGCUGAGAUCUGAACCUCCACCUACAGUCUCUGCCAGCAACCUACACUGCCUCAUCCACCUGCACAUUCGUGCAGACAGCUGCAGCCCAAAGCUCCACCUACAGCCACUGCAACAAACCUGUAGCUUCCUCCAACUCCAGUUCCUGGCAGACAGCUGAGGCCUCAACCUCCACCUAUAGCCUCUGCCAGCAUCCUGUAUCUUCCUCCACCUUCAGAUUCUGGCAGACAGCAAAGGGCUGGAACCUCUACCUGCAGCAUCUGCCAGCGUCCUGUAUCUUCCUCCACCUUCAGAUUCUGGCAGACAUCGGCCUGAGCCUCCACCUACAGCCUCUGCCAGCAUCCUGAAGCUUCUUCCACCUGCAGAUUCUGGCAGACAGCUGAGAUUCUGGCAGACAGCAAAGGGCUGGAACCUCCACCUACAGCCUCUGCCAGCAUCCUGAAGCUUCCUCCACCUGCAGACAGCAGACUGUUGUGAACACACACUCCACCUUCAACCUAUUCAGGCCACAAUCUGCAGCCUAUAACAUCCACAUGCAGCCCCAAGCUCCACCUAUACACCUUGGUCCACUUGUAAUUCUACCAACAUCCACCUUCAGCCUCUGCCAGCAACCUGCACCUUUUCCUCCACCUGCAGAUCCAGGCAGACAGCUGCAGCCCAAACCUCCACCUUCAGCCUCCGCAAGCAAUGAUGCUUCCUCCACCUGCAGAUUCUUGCAGACAGCUGAGGCCUGAACCUCCACCUACAGCUGCUGCCAACAACCUACACCUCCUCUUCCACCUGUGGAUUCUUGCAGAUACAGUAGCUGCAACCGAUUUGUCUGCCUACAGGCGCUUCCACCUUCUGCCUGCAGCUUCUGCCAGAAACCUGCAGCUUCUUCCACCUGCAGAUUCUGGCAGAUAGCUGAGGUCCGAACCUCCACCUACAGUUUCUGCUAGCAACCUACACCGCCUCAUCCACCUGCAGAUUCUGAAGUGCAAACCUCCACCUCCAUCCUUUGCCAACAACCUGCACUGCUAUCUUCAUCUAUAUAUUCUUGCGGACAGCUGCAGCCCGAAGCUCCACCUACAGCCUCUGCCAGCAACCUGCACCUUCUCCUCCACCUGCAUAUUCUAGCAGAAAGCUUAGGUCUGUACCCCCACCUCAUACCUCUGCCAGCAACAUGCAGCCACCGCGCCCACCUGCAAACAGCUGAAGUCCAUCCCUCCAUCUACAUCCUCUGCUAGCCAGUUGAAGGUCCUCGCUCCACCUAAAACCUCUGCCACCUAUAACUUCUUCCAACCACCGACAGAUCCAACCUCUUCCUCCAGCCCACAGUAACCAUCGGCUCCUCCAGCCACUGCCUGCAGCCUUCACCAGUAACCUGCAACCCCUAGCCUCCACCUGCAGUUUUUGGCAUACAGCUGUUCUUUUACUCUCCUUCAUCUACUAGCAGUAAGCUGCAGCAUCAAUCUCCACCUGCAGCUUCUGCCUUAGCCUCCACAUCCACCUACAGCAUCCACUACAGCAGUCAGCUGUGGUCUCAGCCUUCACCUGCUGCUUCUGGUAGCCAGCUGCAUCCCCUGCCACUGCCUUCAGCCACUGUCAACCAGUUCCAGCCCCACACUCCACCUGCAGAUUCUGACAGACACCUGCAGCUCCACUCUCUGACACUCAAAUGCAGCGCCAUUCUUUUUCUACAGCCUUUGGCAGUCACCAUUUGUCUCUUUCUGAAAGCUUCAAACAGAUGACAACCAGAUGCAACACCAAAUCCCACCUAGAGUCUUCGGGAUCCGAACACACACAAGCUGCAGCCCCAAUUUAAUCAGCAUCAUCAGACAGUCCCUGGGUCAGGUACCAAUCAUGGUGAAUUCCAACCUGUGUAACCUGCAUGGCAUGUCCCCCAAAGAGCUCGUAGAACACCAUGAAGAAACUGAGGAAAAUAUAUCCAGAGCUAAGUCAAGGUACUGUGGAUGUGACCAUUUCCAGUGUCUUCACCUUGAACAGCAGCACUGAAUCCUCAUCUGCUUCUUCUUCAUCUUCUUCAUCCUCCUCAUCCUCCACUUUAACCAUCAACCUCUGCUCCUCUCCCAAACUGAGAGUGCCCCUACACGUCAGCCCUUUACCUCAAAACCCAGCGUUAAGCCCAGCCCAACAAUUCCCUGACCUUUGACCUCUCUAUUGCAGGGAGGAAAGAGAAAACAGAACUCCUUUAAGGGGAUAAAUAAAGAAUGCAGCUAAGUACAUUUACUCAAGUAGGCCUACUGAAGUACAAAACUGAGGUCCUUGCACUUUACUUGAGUAUUUCCAUUUUCUGCAACUUCAUACUUCAACUCCACUACAUAUCACAGGCAACAUUGUACUUUUUACUCCACUGCAUGUUUCUGACAGCUUUGUGACGCCCAAGUGUUCCCGCUGGUUUUACGCACGGACCACGGGCAUCUUUCUGUUGGUGAUCAACUACAUACAUUACUGAAUACACAAAACGACGUGAGAGCGACGAACCACUGAGGGAUAUAACACUUCGCUGUCCUUAAACAGGCCUGCUCACAUGAAGAAAAUGCAGCACUUCUUCCCGUGUGCUGCGGGGCAGCGGGCAGUGUGCUGUGCGUUUAGACCCAGGACCACCCUGAGCAGGGUCCGGUGCGCCACUGGCUCCUCUGUCAGUUUCCGCACGGAGGCCAAAGUCUGCUUCUCUUUAAUGCGCCACAGACGGUUUCUAGCGUGGAGAACUGAACAAGCAUAUUGCUGCCUUUCUGAUCCUCAAGUCUCAAAGUCUAGCAAACUUUGAGAAGCCCGCUCUCUAAUACAACACGUGCACACUGCACACACUGACGGGCAGUGCUGGAAGAAGUACUCGCGUCCUUUGCUUAAGUAAAAGUAGCAAUAGCGCAAUGUAAAACAACUCUGUUACAUGUAGAAGUCCUGCGUUCACAAUUCUACACGAGUAGAAGUCUGUUAUAAAAGUCUGGCAGACACUUGACAUGGUAACUGUGAAGAUUAGGACAAAUCUGGGAAAGACAGCUGAAUUCAAACCCAGAUGAGGAUAUAUGGAAGAACACAGUAGCUGCCUGGUGGUCAGUUACACAGUGGAUACACACUACAGACGCAUACACAGGUAUUACUACACACCAGUUAAACAUGAAAUCUGAAAACUGAUUCCGAACAUGUGAAAACAUCGUAAGUCGCAUAGACAGCAAAAUGUGUUUUUCCCUGUUUACAUGACGGGGCACAAAAAGAGUAACUCAUGAUGAACCUAAGUAUUCAGUCGUUGGUAGUUUUGUGCCGCUCAGCAGCUGGUUCAGAGUUAAUCAGGAAGGACUCAUGAAGAAAGUGGCUGGUCUGACAUGGUGUUGUGUUUUCACUGCCAUACUUUGUGGAUCGUCAACUGAACUCUAAAACUUCAUUCUGCCGAAUCCAUUCAUUCGUGUAGAGAGAGCGGCAGUGCAGCCCAUCCUCUGAGGAGGAGUGGGCGUGUUCAUUCGCGCAGCGACAGCUUCAGGAAACCAGACAGAAGCAGACAGCACAGAGACUCGAACCGUACGGUGAUCUCAGCUCGUCGUCGACUGGUGGAAGCCUUCUGUGAGCCGUGCGUGAACGUAGCUGCUGCUGCUGCUGCUGCUGCUGUGUAAAAUGCGCACAGCACUUGGUGACGCGCGUCUCGAUCCUGCUGCUCUGUGAGGACUACAAGUAUUUAAUAAAGUCAGAGGAGAGAAAACUGCAAAUAAACAGUUGUGGGAAGCAAACCGAACAUGAGCACUGCAGUUUCUGCAAAAACACGGAUUAUAUUUAGUGACUAACUUGUUACAGGCUCUGUCUUACUCGCAUUAAAAUUAGUAUUUUUACGCGCAUUUUAAAUCUAAUAUUUCGCUCUGAAACAUAUCAGGCAUCGUACGUAUAUGUUCCGUCCGGAAUCCGUGCGGUCUGCUCUCCAGUUUCCCGAACCUGUCAGAAAUUAGCCCUUCCCAUUGCGCCUCCCUUGACAGUGAGAAUGGGUGGAGUGCGUCAGCCGAUCGAAAAUGUGUAGUUAAAGGUAUGAAGUGCAGCAGUUUGAUCGUCGUAUUGUCGAGCAACUCCGGAUCCCGAAUGAACACGGUCAUACACACGUUCCAACCUCGGUCGUUCGAAACUUCUCAGACUUCGGCAUCCAAACUAUGGAUGAUGUGAAGAGAAGUAUUGCUGCUGUGCUCCAGCGGACACUGCGGUGACAG